rnacentral:rRNA from 1 species
CCCCUAGAUGUUCUGGGCCGCACGCGCGCUACACUGACGAAUGCAACGAGCUUAUAACCUUGGCCGAAAGGUCUGGGUAAUCUCCAAAUUUCGUCGUGAUGGGGAUAGAUUAUUGCAAUUAUUAAUCUUCAACGAGGAAUGCCUAGUAAGCACAAGUCAUCAGCUUGCGUUGAUUACGUCCCUGCCCUUUGUACACACCGCCCGUCGCUCCUACCGAUUGAAUGGUCCGGUGAAGCGUUCGGACCGUGGCCUUUGGACGGUUCGCCGUCUGUUGGCUGCGGGAAGUUCGUUAAACCUUAUCAUUUAGAGGAAGGAGAAGUCGUAACA